rnacentral:rRNA from 1 species
AUUGAACGCUGGCGGCAGGCCUAACACAUGCAAGUCGAACGGUAACAGGAAACAGCUUGCUGUUUCGCUGACGAGUGGCGGACGGGUGAGUAAUGUCUGGGAAACUGCCUGAUGGAGGGGGAUAACUACUGGAAACGGUAGCUAAUACCGCAUAACGUCGCAAGACCAAAGAGGGGGACCUUCGGGCCUCUUGCCAUCGGAUGUGCCCAGAUGGGAUUAGCUAGUAGGUGGGGUAACGGCUCACCUAGGCGACGAUCCCUAGCUGGUCUGAGAGGAUGACCAUCCACACUGGAACUGAGACACGGUCCAGACUCCUACGGGAGGCAGCAGUGGGGAAUAUUGCACAAUGGGCGCAAGCCUGAUGCAGCCAUGCCGCGUGUAUGAAGAAGGCCUUCGGGUUGUAAAGUACUUUCAGCGGGGAUGAAGGGAGUAAAGUUAAUACCUUUGCUCAUUGACGUUACCCGCAGAAGAAGCACCGGCUAACUCCGUG